GGCAGCGCAUUACUGUCUCUACGACACAUUUCAUGAAGGAAACACCAAAGACCCAAAAGAUGUCCUCCGAAGGAUAAAGAUAGUUCCUGAACUGGCAGGGAGAAUUAACAGCCAGGUUGCAGAACAACUCUUUACAACCAUGAAGAACAACAACUACUACAUGAAUUUGCUCUCACCAUCGGCUCAUGUUGUCAUGAUGUGUAAUGUGAUUCACAAUUACAAUCAGCGGAAAAACAAGAAGAUCAAGGAGGAAUUGAGAAAACUUGUGAAUCCUGAUGUUCCGAUGUGUCUCAGUCAGUAUGGUCAAGCAGAAUUCUGUCUUUCAGCCAACAGAGCUUUGCCCUGACCCAGUUGUUGCCUCCAUGGAGUGUAGCUCGGACCCAGAUCAUUCACCACCUUCUAAAUGUGCAAAUUUACAGCUGCUCUCCUCAGCUGUUGACUGUAUUAAUCCCAAUUUAGUCUCUGGAAACAAGAACCAAAUGCAAGACUCUCUGAAUUGCUGGACUAUGUAUUGGACACUGAGGGUGACCCAGAGGAGGAAAUAAUCAAAGUCCACAACUCUUCAAUCACAAGAUCUGACUUUUGCACUCUGGGCUUAGAACAAGAAUUUGACGUAAGGGUAGCAAAUUGUUGUUUCAACAUUAUUGUCAAGACUGCAAAUGCACAUGUAAGUUACAUAUAUUACAAUUUACAUAAUCUGUGGAAUCAUGUCACAUCAUCUGUGGAAUCCUACACAAAUAGUGCAUCUAUUUUCAAAUUAAGGGUAUUGCAACUGUGGCUGUGGAUGCAUGAGGUGGUAACCUGAAUCCCUCCAUAUGAGGCUUCUUCCACGGCUGAAUUGUAGGGGUGUAAAGAUUAACCGAUACGUAUCGGUAUCCGUUUUUAAAGGGGAACU